CUAGGAUGUUGGCUUAGAAGCAGCCAUCAUUUAAAGAAAGCGUAAUAGCUCACUAGUCGAGUCGGCCUGCGCGGAAGAUGUAACGGGGCUCAAAUAUAGCACCGAAGCUGCGGCAUCAGACGAAAGUCUGUUGGGUAGGGGAGCGUUCUGUAAGCGGAUGAAGGUGGUUCGAGAGGGCUGCUGGACGUAUCAGAAGUGCGAAUGCUGACAUAAGUAACGAUAAAACGGGUGAAAAACCCGUUCGCCGGAAGACCAAGGGUUCCUGUCCAACGUUAAUCGGGGCAGGGUGAGUCGGCCCCUAAGGCGAGGCUGAAAAGCGUAGUCGAUGGGAAACGGGUUAAUAUUCCCGUACUUGGAUAAACUGCGAUGUGGGGACGGAGCAGGUUAGGUUAUCGCACUGUUGGAUAUGUGCGUUUAAGUUGGUAGGUGAGAAGUUUAGGCAAAUCCGGACUUUUUUAACACUGAGAGAUGAUGACGAGGCUCUACGGAGCUGAAGUAACCGAUACCACACUUCCAGGAAAAGCCACUAAGCUUCAGGUUUAUCUAAACCGUACUGAAAACCGACACAGGUGGUCAGGUAGAGAAUACUCAGGCGCUUGAGAGAACUCGGGUGAAGGAACUAGGCAAAAUAGCACCGUAACUUCGGGAGAAGGUGCGCCGGCGUAGAUUGUAGUCCCUUGCGGGCGAAGGUUGAACCGGUCGAAGAUACCAGCUGGCUGCAACUGUUUAUUAAAAACACAGCACUCUGCAAACACGAAAGUGGACGUAUAGGGUGUGAUGCCUGCCCGGUGCUGGAAGGUUAAUUGAUGGUGUAAUCGAAAGAGAAGCUCCUGAUCGAAGCCCCAGUAAACGGCGGCCGUAACUAUAACGGUCCUAAGGUAGCGAAAUUCCUUGUCGGGUAAGUUCCGACCUGCACGAAUGGCAUAAUGAUGGCCAGGCUGUCUCCACCCGAGACUCAGUGAAAUUGAAAUCGCCGUGAAGAUGCGGUGUACCCGCGGCUAGACGGAAAGACCCCGUGAACCUUUACUAUAGCUUGACACUGAACAUUGAAUUUUGAUGUGUAGGAUAGGUGGGAGACUAUGAAGUAGUCACGCCAGUGAUUAUGGAGUCGUCCUUGAAAUACCACCCUUUAACGUUUGAUGUUCUAACGAAGAUUACGAAACGUGGUCUCGGACAGUGUCUGGUGGGUAGUUUGACUGGGGCGGUCUCCUCCCAAAGAGUAACGGAGGAGCACGAAGGUUUGCUAAUGACGGUCGGACAUCGUCAGGUUAGUGCAAUGGUAUAAGCAAGCUUAACUGCGAGACAGACAAGUCGAGCAGGUACGAAAGUAGGUCAUAGUGAUCCGGUGGUUCUGAAUGGAAGGGCCAUCGCUCAACGGAUAAAAGGUACUCCGGGGAUAACAGGCUGAUACCGCCCAAGAGUUCAUAUCGACGGCGGUGUUUGGCACCUCGAUGUCGGCUCAUCACAUCCUGGGGCUGAAGUAGGUCCCAAGGGUAUGGCUGUUCGCCAUUUAAAGUGGUACGCGAGCUGGGUUUAGAACGUCGUGAGACAGUUCGGUCCCUAUCUGCCGUGGGCGUUGGAGAAUUGAUUGGGGCUGCUCCUAGUACGAGAGGACCGGAGUGGACGCACCACUGGUGUUCCGGUUGUGUCGCCAGACGCAUUGCCGGGUAGCUAAGUGCGGAAGAGAUAAGUGCUGAAAGCAUCUAAGCACGAAACUUGCCAAGAGAUGAGUUCUCCCUGUUUUUAAGACAGUAAGGGUUGU
rnacentral:rRNA from 1 species